UGUUUGGUUUAAUUUAAAAUAAUUCACGUUUGAAAGCUCAAAGAUUGAUUCUUGGUUUAUGUUCUUCAAACCAUGGCACUGUCUAUGUCGUCGUGCAAUGUCGGAGAGAAAGUUAAAAAAAAUAAGGGAUUGCUCUAGGCUAGAUGCUGUCAAUGAUAUCCCCUCUUGUUUUCACGGUAGGUGUCUUCUGCACAUUCUUUUGCCUUUUCCUGCUUGAAAAGGUGAGCUGCAGGUUCAAGACUUGUUUUUGAAUGCAGUGUAUAUACUUCUAUUUUUGUGAUCAACUACAAGAAGCCUCAGUCACCCAUUGCCAAAUUUUGUAACUGUUGCACUGUUUUAGCAUAACUCUUAGUGAAGGUAACCUAGCUGCUGUUUUGCAAGUGUAACCUUCAAUCAUGGCUUGAUAUUUUCAUUUAGCAUCUCUGUGGCUAUAGUUGUACGAGUAAAUUUUGAGUUCCAUAAUUGUCUACAACCAUUGCUUGAAAUAUCUGAUGUGAAAUUUUCAGCUUAACAGCAACCAAUAAACUCCAAAAUAUCUGAAUCUAUAUACAUCAAUAUCAGUGUAAAUACUGCUUUUCAUGUGUAAAAUAGGGUUCUUUGAAUGAUGUCGAGCUGGACAAGUGGGAUUUGGCUAUUUUAUGCCGGUGCCCAAAAAUAUGUGUUAGAAGUGUCUGCAACGUAUUGUCGAGAUCUGAACAGAGGCUUUGAGUCCUGACAGCUCUGAAUUUGAACUGUAUAUUUUAAAGAGUGCAUGAGACUCCGCACUGUCCUCAAUAGGAGGGCCGAGGUGGUGGUUUUCGAAACACUGGUUGCAUUGGGGCUCUUGCCCAUGGGUAGCUUGUGGAAGUCCAUGGGACAUGCUUGGGUAAUGGUAAUGACAGUGCUGCUAAGGCCAGCAUAGAUGAAUAAGCAUAUAGCUGUACAAUGGCCUGUACAGCAGCAACAUAUGCCGGUUUGACUGUUAGCUGCUACUACAUUGUGCCAGCCAUUGAUGCCCCACAAAUUUUUUCAUGUAUGCUUGAGCACAUGUUAGGAUCAGUUCUAGACGGGAGGGGAGGGGAGGUGGGGACUAAAUUCUGUUCAUGUUGCAAAUAUUGGACAGAGAUGAGAGAAUGUGCGACAAUGAUCAGCGACAUAGCCUUGAGGGUUCAGUAGAGGAUCGGGUGACUUGCUCGGCAAACACAACGGAAUGCUGUGCAUCAGCCCCGAAGCUGGUCAAAUCUGCUUUUAGUGCAGGGUUAAUAACAAGGAGUACAAUCAGAAGAUGGGCAGACGAGCAUAUAGCAUUUUGCGCAACUACCGUCAAUGAAAAAAGAUACUUAAAAACCUUUGGGUGGGUAGGUGCCUCAAAUAAUUACCUCCCCCCACACAUAAACACACACACACAAAAAAAAAAGAAAAAAAAAGAAAGAAACAUAGAUACUCAAUAUUUCUGAAAUGCCAUAAUAAUCGGACUAUAUUAUGUGUAGUGCAGGACCGAGGCAUCUCUGUGUGGUCUCCAAUUACCCCUGUCUUAUGUUAGCCGAUUCCAAGUUAUAUCUCUGCAUUUCAGAGUGUCAUCAGACCAAUUAAACCUUUACCCUCCUUGA
rnacentral:lncRNA from 1 species